AUAAUCACAGUUACAUUGUUGCUUGCAAAAUGUAUUGCAGUUCUAGUGGAGUUGCUUUGAUAUUGUAGCUCUUAUAUCUUCUCUUAAUCUUCCAACUCUCACAUAUAUAUAAAAUUUUCAACCGUACUUGUUAACUAUUCUAUUUUAUUCAAAGUCUAAUCGAUUUCCAUUCUAUUUCAGUGCAUCUGUUCUAUAUCGUGCUACAAGUAGCGAACCAUAACCAAACCUCAUAAUGGGCAAGGAAAGGACCACCGUCAACAUCACCCUCAUUGGACAUCUGGCUUAGGCCUGAAAAAUGGAUUCUUCUAGAAGAUUCUACUCCCUCAACGACUGAAAAUGGAUUCUGAACUUCAAACUUCUUGGACAGGACUAUCAAAAU